UUUCUUUUGAUUCUUCUAGGUAACUUUUAAAGCAUCCAGAUACUCACUUUCCCCAGAUUUAAAAUAUGUUCUCCUGGCAUAUGACGUCAAGCAGAUUUUUCAUUACUCAUUUACCGCUUCAUAUUUGAUUUACAACAUACACACUGGGGAAGUGUGGGAGUUGAAUCCCCCAGAAGUUGAGGACUCAGUGUUGCAGUAUGCGGCCUGGGGUGUGCAAGGACAGCAGCUGAUUUAUAUUUUUGAAAACAAUAUCUACUAUCAACCUGAUAUCAAGAGCAGUUCUUUACGACUGACAUCUUCAGGAAAAGAAGGGAUUGUUUUUAAUGGGAUUGCUGAUUGGUUAUAUGAAGGUGAGUUGCAAAAUUAUAAUUUCUAAAGGGCAAAAUGGCAU